rnacentral:rRNA from 1 species
CUGGUCUUGACAUCCACGGAAGUUUUCAGAGAUGAGAAUGUGCCUUCGGGAACCGUGAACAGGUGCUGCAUGGCUGUCGUCAGCUCGUGUUGUGAAAUGUUGGGUUAAGUCCCGCAACGAGCGCAACCCUUAUCCUUUGUUGCCAGCGGUCCGGCCGGGAACUCAAAGGAGACUGCCAGUGAUAAACUGGAGGAAGGUGGGGAUGACGUCAAGUCAUCAUGGCCCUUACGACCAGGGCUACACACGUGCUACAAUGGCGCAUACAAAGAGAAGCGACCUCGCGAGAGCAAGCGGACCUCAUAAAGUGCGUCGUAGUCCGGAUUGGAGUCUGCAACUCGACUCCAUGAAGUCGGAAUCGCUAGUAAUCG